rnacentral:rRNA from 1 species
CGAACGCUGGUAGCGUGGAUUAGGCAUGCAAGUCGAACGGGAUCACCGAUAUAGUAAUAUUGAGGUGUGAGAGUGGCGGAUUGGGGAGGAACACGUGAGCAACCUGCCUUGGAGUCGGGGAAAACCGUUGGAAACGACGGCUAAUACCGGAUGUGGCGCCCGAUGACAUCAUCGGAGCGCUAAAGGGGGCCGCAAGGCUCUCGCUCCUUGAGGGGCUCGCGCACCAUCAGCUUGUUGGCGGGUAACGGCCCACCAAGGCCUACGGUUAGCUGGUCUGAGAGGAUGACCAGCCCCACUGGGACUGAGAUACUGCCCAGACUCCUACGGGAGGCUGCAGUCGAGGAUCAUUUGCAAUGGGCGAAAGCCUGACAAUGCGACGCUGCGUGGAAGGAUGAAGGCCUUCGGGUUGUAAACUCCUGUCAUGGGGGAACAGGCGAGGGGAGUCAAUACCUCCCUUAGUUGAGUGUACCCCAAGAGGAAUUGGCGGCUAACUCUGUGCCAGCCGCCGC